rnacentral:rRNA from 1 species
UACAGAGGUCCCAAGCGUUGUUCGGAUUCACUGGGCGUAAAGGGUGCGUAGGCGGUCGGGUAAGUCUGAUGUGAAAUCUCACAGCUUAACUGUGAAACUGCAUUGGAUACUAUCCGGCUUGAGAGUUGGAGGGGGGACUGGAAUUCUUGGUGUAGCAGUGAAAUGCGCAGAUAUCAGGAGGAACACCGGUGGCGAAGGCGGGUCUCUGGGCCGAUACUGACGCUGAGGAGCGAAAGCAUGGGUAGCGAACAGG